AUGAUAGACCAAUUUGGCAGCAUAUAUACUAAAUCUGGAACAAAACAGAGAAGAUAGGCCCCUGCGCAAGGAUGAUGAGAAAAUUCACAAAACCUUCCAUAUAUAU